AGAGUUUGAUCAUGGCUCAGGAUGAACGCUGGCGGCGUGCUUAACACAUGCAAGUCGAACGAAGCACCUCAACCGAUGAAAGAUCCUGCUCGCAGGAGACGGAUUCACCCGAGGUGACUUAGUGGCGGACGGGUGAGUAACGCGUGGGUAACCUACCUCUUACAGGGGGAUAACAAUUAGAAAUGAUUGCUAAUACCGCAUAACACCUUAGUACCGCAUGGUACAGAGGCCAAAACGUUAGUGGUAAGAGAUGGACCCGCGUCUGAUUAGUUAGUUGGUGGGGUAACGGCCUACCAAGACGAUGAUCAGUAGCCGACCUGAGAGGGUGACCGGCCACAUUGGGACUGAGACACGGCCCAAACUCCUACGGGAGGCAGCAGUGGGGAAUAUUGCGCAAUGGGGGACACCCUGAUGCAGCGACGCCGCGUGAGUGAAGAAGUAUUUCGGUAUGUAAAGCUCUAUCAGCAGGGAAGAAAAUGACGGUACCUGACUAAGAAGCCCCGGCUAACUACGUGCCAGCAGCCGCGGUAAUACGUAGGGGGGCAAGCGUUAUCCGGAUUUACUGGGUGUAAAGGGAGCGUAGACGGCUGUGCAAGUCAGAUGUGAAAACCCGAGGCUUAACUUCGGGAUUGCAUUUGAAACUGUAUAGCUAGAGUAUCGGAGAGGUAAGUGGAAUUCCUAGUGUAGCGGUGAAAUGCGUAGAUAUUAGGAGGAACACCAGUGGCGAAGGCGGCUUACUGGACGAAAACUGACGUUGAGGCUCGAAAGCGUGGGGAGCAAACAGGAUUAGAUACCCUGGCUAGUCCACGCCGUAAACGAUGAAUACUAGGGUGUUGGCAGGCAAAGCCUGUCGGUGCCGCAGCAAGCGCAAUAAGUAUUCCACCUGGGGAGUACGUUCGCAAGAAUGAAACUCAAAGGAAUUGACGGGGACCCGCACAAGCGGUGGAGCAUGUGGUUUAAUUCGAAGCAACGCGAAGAACCUUACCAAGUCUUGACAUCUCCUUGAAAGCCCGGGUAAUGCCGGGCCUCCUUCGGGCAAGGAAGACAGGUGGUGCAUGGUUGUCGUCAGCUCGUGUCGUGAGAUGUUGGGUUAAGUCCCGCAACGAGCGCAACCCUUGUUCUUAGUAGCCAGCACGUAAUGGUGGGCACUCUAAGGAGACUGCCAGGGAUAACCUGGAGGAAGGUGGGGAUGACGUCAAAUCAUCAUGCCCCUUAUGACUUGGGCUACACACGUGCUACAAUGGCGUAAACAAAGGGAAGCGACCCCGCGAGGGUGAGCAAAUCUCAAAAAUAACGUCCCAGUUCGGAUUGCAGGCUGCAACCCGCCUGCAUGAAGUUGGAAUCGCUAGUAAUCGCGAAUCAGCAUGUCGCGGUGAAUACGUUCCCGGGUCUUGUACACACCGCCCGUCACACCAUGGGAGUUGGUAACGCCCGAAGCCGGUGACCCAACCAAACGGAGGGAGCCGUCCACGGCGGGACCGAUAACUGGGGUGAAGUCGUAACAAGGUAACCGUA
rnacentral:rRNA from 1 species